rnacentral:lncRNA from 1 species
GGUUCCUUCCUUCCCAAACUACAUUUCCCAGAAUUCAGUGCUUUCUCAGUCUUUUCCCCAGCUCACUCAGUCUGUCCCGCCCUGCUGCUUUCCUCUCCUCAGGGUGAGAGGCAACCUAUCUCUUCUUAUUUUAAAGAGGAAUGGCAGCUUUUUUGGCUUUGCCUUGCUUGUGCUGAAAAUAAAACUGCCUUCCGAGCAUUACAGAAUUCAAACAAAAAGUACUGGCAUACCAGGAAUCAUAAAACCAGUUGGAAAUUCACCUCUGAGGCUGGAGACUUAGCUCAGAUUUCAGAGGAAAUUUCUGAUCUCAGAGCUCCCUAUCCUGUUCAAAGGAAAUCUGGCUGCAGAACUCCCCAGAGUUCUGCACUCUUAUUAUUGUAGAUGUCCGAGAAGGGCGGGGGGAUUCUGGAUGUGCAUAAUCGAAAGCUUUUCCAGCCCUCCAACAUGCCUCCAACAUGAGACAAUAUUUAUACCAGCCCCAGGCCUGGCCUGUAGGAUUUCCUUCUCAUUGUUUGGAAUGGGUGGAAAUUGGUAAAAGGCAAAAAUAGAGGAAAAGGAACAAACAGCAAUCCCCUUCACUUUUGUGUUGCCAGCUUGAUCAUUUAGGGAUUUGGAAACAGUGGAGCAGUCAAGAAAUCAGAAGAAGACUAGGAGUUGAGUGGAACUGCAGUCAAGAAAGGACAUGGCUACAAAGGAAGUAAACAAGAUCCUGAAGUGUAAAGCUGAAUAUUAAAGUUAAGAUUUUUUGUGCCAUUGCGUUUCUGUGUAUGAUUCUGAAAGCAGGACAAGGUCAAAAGCUGAAAUGUGGUGCUGGGGAAGAGUUCUGUCAAUACUGUGAACAACUUAAAAAUCAAAUAAAUUAGUGUAAAUCCUGGUGUAAAUCAAACUUGAAUUCUCCCUAGAAAACAAGGUGACUAUAUUGAGACGGUUGUAUUUUAGGCAUAUUAUAAGAAGACAUGGCUCAGUAGAAUAAUAAUAAUAAUGAUAAUAAUAAUAAUAAUAAACACUUUAUUUAUAUUCUGCCUUUCUCCCCAAGGGGACUCAGAGCGGAUUACAGUAUACAAACAGAUACAGGCAAACAUUCAAUG